AUGCGAUCACUAAUUCUCAUUGACUGUAGUUGUAGUUUUAGAAGUAGGAUGGCUAGCAGUCAUCAUAUAUUGGCUAAGUUGCAUUUGUGUUGGGUACAACAAGAUGAAGAUCAAGAGAAUCCCGAUGAAAAGCAUCAUGCUGAUUCUGAUGUGGAAAUAGAUGAUGCCAAGCCUUUGGAGGAAUCUGAAAGGAGAAGCAAUACUCAGAGUGCGAGAGUUAAGCAGUAUUGGAUAGAUCACAUUUCAGGGAUAACAUGGAUUUAUUUUGCUCUUCCUACUUUUGUUAGAUAG
rnacentral:rRNA from 1 species